rnacentral:rRNA from 1 species
ACAUAACCUUUAGCCAAACCAGUAUUAAAGGCGACGCCUGCCCAGUGAAUAAUUAAACGGCCGCGGUACCCUAACCGUGCAAAGGUAGCACAAUCACUUGUCUAUUAAUUGUAGACCUGUAUGAAAGGCAAAAUGAAAGCCCAACUGUCUCUUAUAACAAAUCAAUAAAACUGAUCUCCUAGUACAAAAGCUAGAAUGUUAACAUAAGACCAGAAGACCCUGUGAAGCUUUAAUAAACCUAUUAAAUCAAAUAAUAACUUUUUUUGGUUGGGGCAACCUUGGAAUAAAAAAGAACUUCCAACAAUAUGACUCCUCAUAAAAUAAGGCAAACACGCCGCAAAUAUGACCCAGCACGGCUGAGUACUGAAAUAAGUUACUCCAGGGAUAACAGCGCUAUCUUCUUCAAGAGCCCAUAUCAAAAAGAAGGUUUACGACCUCGAUGUUGGAUCAGGACACCCCAGUAAUGCAGCCGUUACUAAAGGUUCGUUUGUUCAACGAUUAAUAGUCCUACGUGA